rnacentral:lncRNA from 1 species
AUUGAUUGGGUAUCAAACUCUUUCAUAAAUUUGAAGGGUAAACAUAAUCGAAACAACAAUUAAAAAAAUUUGUAAGAGGUUCAGAUUCAUUUUCGUCCAACAUGAGAAGAAGACAUCAUAUGUCUACCUUCUUCUUGCCUAGAUCCAACCUAAGAGGUACACAUGGCUGCAGUGGUUGCUACAUGGGCCAUCCAAACUGCCCCGCCAUCAACCUGUUUUGGUUGGAAAACAGAGCAUUGAAGAGAGGAGACAAUGAUCAUGCUUCAUCCAUACCAUAUGGAUCUAGGCUUCAGCAUCACCAUGAACAGUCAAUCGAACACCAAAAUGGUGAAUGAUCGAAACCAUCAUUUAUUUUAAUUUCAUCAUCAUCACCUCUUAGUGAAUCAACAGAAGUAGUAAGAAAUUAACCAAGCACUAUGAAGAGAAAAUUAGGGAGAAAAUAAAUCUUCAAUAUUAGAAAGAGAAAAAAGAAGAGCGAAGUCAAUUAUUUCAAAAACAUCAAUUAUUUCCUCAUCGCAAGACUACAUCUUCAGCAUCACCAUGAACAACCAAUCUGAGUUCGAACACCAACAUGGUAAAUGGUCGAAACCAUCAUUUAUUUUAAUUUCAUCAUCAUCACCUCUUACUGAAUCAAUAGAAAUAGUAAGAAACUAAGCAAACAAUGUGAAGGGAAAAUUAGGNNN